GUCGCCACUAACGCAGUUUCCCAAAAUGGGAGAGACCAUCAGGGAGGGGAGGGAGCCCGCCGCAUUCCAUUCCUUUGUGACUCGUGGUUUAUCUCUUAUACCGGGUGGGGGAGUUGGGGGGACGGACACGACAGGGACAGGACACUUGUACAGAUGGAUUUGGUGCCACCAGCACUACUCCCUCAAUCAACUCAGGCUUUCAACCAACAAAAGCCUGAAAGACGAGUUGUCUACGACUUCUGGUUUCAGCCUGCCUUCACCAACACCCCCUGAGGCGACAGAGCACAAAGGCAGGGCUCUCUGCUCUCCACCAGGGAUAGAGGACGGCGGGAUGGGGAGGGGAGAUAAGGGGAAAAGGAAACCUAGCAACAGAAAAUAACAUCUCAAUCCAUUAUCCUGCCGCACUUGUAAUUCUUUAACUCUUGCUCCCAAUUAUAUCUGGAUUUAAGAGUGCAAAACAAAGGCUCAUGCUGUAAUUUUAAUGGACUUGUUUUUAUAGGAAAAAAGUGAGUCUCAGAAUCCUAGAAAUGAUUUCUUCUAAGACUCACAGGAUUUAAUAAGCUCCUAGCUUAAGGAUUAAACAUUUUUUUUUAGCAUCAGCGUAACGUGACUCGCGCUCCCCUUCCAAGUGGAGAAUCCCAUUGUACAAAACAGAAAGGGAGCUGCUUUGGUUGUCAGGUUGGGGCACAGAACUCCUGCUGGAUGGUUUCCUCACUCCAUCCCUGUCGCAGUCCCUGCAGUGGCUCAAGCAGACCGGAAGGCUCAGUGGAGCAUGGGGUGAAGAACCAGCCUCAGCCCACCCUCCACCCCACACUGAAAGCCUCUUCGUGGCUUCCCUUCACCCACCUCUGAUCACUCCCUUCCUGAGAGAAGUCUCACAGGCAGCCGACCCAUCGCCCAGCACCACCCAGGACGGGAAAACACUUCCUAUAUGAUUGACGACCCCAAUGUGAUUCCCCGUCACUCACCCACAAGUCUCAGUUCUGCCUAAGAGACCACAAGGAACAGGUCUACGUCCUCUUUCACAUGAGUUACAGAGCAUAUCUCUCCCUGGAGCGUCUUUUCCAGAUGAAACAGGCACUUAAACCUAUGAUAAGUGGGUAAAUGAAUGAAUAAAUGAAGAAGCAAACAUAGGAAGGAGCAGAUUGGAGGUGGAAAAGGAAGGAAGAGAAAGAACAACUGAAUGAAACACUCUCGUCAUUCUCUUCUGCACACUCUCUAGCUUGAAAAUGGUUCUCUUAAAAAGUGACAUGUGUGAGAAAAUUGUAGCUUUUGGAACUGAACACAAUUCUCCAGAAAGACCUUAACCAAGUGUUUUUCCUACUGUUGGCGGUAACCCAUGAAGGGCCAUGAGCACAAAUCUACCUGUGUCUCUUAGUGGAAAGACAUGUGUCAUAGCCAAGGCCACACAGGAGACAUUUAUUGACACUGUCACCUCCUCUGUUUACUCACACUCCAAGGACAGACUAUAACUCAGCAGGAUGGGAAGGAGGUUCGAACUCCUUCUUGGACACGCGCUCUGAUAACAGGAAAGGCUGUUGCAGGCUCCAGGACUGAUAACCUCCUAGGCCAGUGUGAGCCAGACAGUCCGGGAGCUGAGCAGAGUGGGCAACUCUGACCAGACUGAGGAUCCACCAAUGCCUGAAAGAUGAUGUUGUUUGGUCCCCGUUGGUCCCCUGCAGGGACCCAGCCUGACCUGAGCCCUGGAGCAGGAAGGAAGUCAUCCUGAAAGCCAGAGAUCAGGAUGGUUCCCUGAAGCUGUGGUCUGCAAAGCUUUUUGAUCUCAUACCAUUAUUGGUUAAAAAUAACCCAAGCAUCAAUAUCUGUGCAUUUUAUUUCUAAAUUUUAUAUUUGUUUGUAUCAAAUAGUAAUAAAGCUCAAUAACUUUUUUGUUCUGAAAACGCACAUAAAG
ensembl:lncRNA